rnacentral:rRNA from 1 species
UAUGUGAUCGUCUCUCGCAUAUCAAUAAGCGGAGGAAAAGAAACUAACAAGGAUUCCCCUAGUAACGGCGAGUGAAGCGGGAAGAGCUCAAAUUUGAAAUCUUAAAGGGUUUCCCUUUACGAAUUGUAGUUUAAAGAAGUGUUUUCUGUUGAGGUUUUGGUAAAAGUUCUUUGGAAUAGGACAUCAUAGAGGGUGAGAAUCCCGUAUUUGACCUUUACUUUCAACUUUGUGAUACACUUUCAAAGAGUCGGAUUGUUUGGGAAUGCAGUCCCAAAAUGGGUGGUAAAUUUCAUCUAAAGCUAAAUAUUGGCGAGAGACCGAUAGCGAACAAGUACCGUGAGGGAAAGAUGAAAAGAACUUUGAAAAGAGAGUUAAACAGUACGUGAAAUUGUCAAAAGGGAAGCGUUUGACACCAGUGUUGUUUUUCUGAAAAUCAAUUAAAGAACUGUUUAUGCCAAGUUGUUUAGACUUUAUCAGCUAACUGUUUAGUUUUGAGCUUUUCUUUAAUGCACUUUUCAGUUAACAAGUCAACAUCAAUUUCUUUUGCUGUAAAAAAGCUUGAGGAAGGUGGCUUGAGAUUCGUCUUAAGUGUUUAUAGCCUCUUGCCUAUGCAGUCGGAGAGAUUGAGGUCUGCAGCGUAGAUCCUUCGGGGCUAAAUGCAUUUGUGCUAAGUUAUAGCAUUUUAUAGACAACUUGUUGACUAUGAUUUGUCUUGUAGCUUACUCGCUUAUGUUAUUUUACCUACGCUUAGGAUGUUGAGUAGCGACAUACGCAC